UCAGAUAAAGGCAAACCUUGGGUAACCAGGGGGCGCAAAGUAAAGGGUCUUAGUAAAAAAAGAUAGCCUUACUGCCGAAG
rnacentral:ncRNA from 1 species